UGGCGAACGGGUGAGUAACACGUGGGUGAUCUGCCCUGCACUCUGGGAUAAGCCUGGGAAACUGGGUCUAAUACCGGAUAGGACCAUGCUUUAGUGUGUGUGGUGGAAAGUUUUUUCGGUGUAGGAUGAGCCCGCGGCCUAUCAGCUUGUUGGUGGGGUAAUGGCCUACCAAGGCGGCGACGGGUAGCCGGACUGAGAGGUUGGUCGGCCACAUUGGGACUGAGAUACGGCCCAG
rnacentral:rRNA from 2 species